UACGUAGGGCGCAAGCGUUGUCCGGAUUCACUGGGCGUAAAGGGUGCGCAGGCGGCCAAGUGUGUUAGGCGUGAAAGCCCGGGGCUUAACCCCGGAAUUGCACCUAAAACUACAUGGCUAGAGCAUUGGAGAGGGUAGCGGAAUUCACGGUGUAGCAGUGAAAUGCGUAGAUAUCGUGAGGAACACCAGAGGCGAAGGCGGCUACCUGGACAAUUGCUGACGCUCAGGCACGAAAGCGUGGGGAGCAAAAGGG
rnacentral:rRNA from 1 species